rnacentral:rRNA from 1 species
UUGUCCUGUGACUGCGUACCUUUUGUAUAAUGGGUCAGCGACUUAUAUUCAGUGGCAAGGUUAACCAUCUAGGGGAGCCGUAGGGAAACCGAGUCUUAACUGGGCGUUCAGUCUCUGGAUAUAGACCCGAAACCAGGUGAUCUAGCCAUGGGCAGGUUGAAGGUUGAGUAACAUCAACUGGAGGACCGAACCGACUAAUGUUGAAAAAUUAGCGGAUGACUUGUGGCUAGGGGUGAAAGGCCAAUCAAACCUGGAGAUAGCUGGUUCUCCCCGAAAGCUAUUUAGGUAGCGCCUCGGACGAAUACUACUGGGGGUAGAGCACUGUUAAGGCUAGGGGGUCAUCCCGACUUACCAACCCUUUGCAAACUCCGAAUACCAGUAAGUACUAUCCGGGAGACACACGGCGGGUGCUAACGUCCGUCGUGGAGAGGGAAACAACCCAGACCGCCAGCUAAGGUCCCAAAUUACUACUAAGUGGGAAACGAUGUGGGAAGGCUCAGACAGCCAGGAUGUUGGCUUAGAAGCAGCCAUCAUUUAAAGAAAGCGUAAUAGCUCACUGGUCGAGUCGGCCUGCGCGGAAGAUGUAACGGGGCUAAGUAGUAAACCGAAGCUGCGGCAAUAUACUUUUGUAUAUUGGGUAGGGGAGCGUUCUGUAAGCGGUUGAAGGUGUGUGGUAACGCAUGCUGGACGUAUCAGAAGUGCGAAUGCUGACAUGAGUAACGAUAAAGGGGGUGAAAAACCUCCUCGCCGGAAGACCAAGGGUUCCUGUCCAACGUUAAUCGGGGCAGGGUAAGUCGACCCCUAAGGCGAGGCCGAAAGGCGUAGUCGAUGGGAAACGGGUUAAUAUUCCCGUACUUCUUACAAUUGCGAUGGGGGGACGGAGAAGGCUAGGUGGGCCUGGCGACGGUUGUCCAGGUUCAAGUGCGUAGGCUUAAGAGUUAGGUAAAUCCGGCUCUUUUUAAGGCUGAGACACGACGUCGAGCAUCUACGGAUGUGAAGUCAUUGAUGCCAUGCUUCCAGGAAAAGCCUCUAAGCUUCAGAUUGUAAGGAAUCGUACCCCAAACCGACACAGGUGGUCGGGUAGAGAAUACCAAGGCGCUUGAGAGAACUCGGGUGAAGGAACUAGGCAAAAUGGUACCGUAACUUCGGGAGAAGGUACGCUCU